CAACGAUGAACGCGUGGACUGCGCACAAUCUCCUUGGGCGAUCGGGCCUCGUUUCCUGUUGCUGCGCUGCAUGGGCUGCCUUGUGACUGCGCGAAUCGACCACACCCACCCACACACACACACGCACAGAGACGACGGCUCCCCUGAAGCGUCUACACGGCCGUUGCGUUGCGUGCCGCGAUCGAGGGCAAAAGGCAACAACGAAAAGAACCUCGCGUUGCUUCGAAGCGUUUUUUUUUGUCGUCCCGGCGGCGGCCCGCACCUCUGCCGCCUCCACAGCCGCCUCUCUCUUUCCCAUCUUGCAGCGUCACCGUAAGCAGCGACAGUAGCCAGCGGUAAACCGCCCACUUCAAGAGAUUGGCUCUGUCGUCCACCUUGCGGGGUAUAAGCGGGCUCCUGCGCAACGUCAAGGGGGAUUUCAUGAAUGAGGAGAACUACAUCCACCCCGGUACUGUCGCUCUUUUCGUAAAGGCGCCUUGCGUGUGGAAUAUUUCGGUGUUGGGCAUCAGCUGCGAGGCCUACGGCUCCAUGUGUAUCGUCGCCUAGAGUCGGUGCUGCUUCCUCGAUAGGCGUUUUGACAGAGAGCACAUCGACGUCUCUCGCUACGCCAUGCUCGCGGACCGCUUCGGCAUCGCGUGAAGGCUCGAGAAAAACUGCUGCGACCCUGGGGGGACUCGUGGAAGCCCGCCCGAGUGCUUUCUGUCCGACUCACUGCAGCGAGCUCAUGAUGGUGAGCCGAUAAAGGCAGGAAUUUCGUGGCACGGCUUGAAGGACGGGUGCUUGAAUCGCGCCUGCUCCCCCCUCCUCCCCCCCCCCCCCCCACACACACACCCCGGCCCGCAGACGGGGAAGGUGAAGUGCUUCAUUGGCUGUGACGCCGGCUGGUUUCUAUUCCCGCAGCCGAAAGUCGGCAAUGAAGGCGAGUGGAGCACGGUGCAGUUGACAGCAGACCGUACCGGUGACGGUGAGGAUGAGGAGAUCGUCGUCAUUUCCGCCUUACGCUACAAUACGGUUCUCGUUUAUCUCCGGAGCGCAACCGCCGUGCAUCAGCGCGUUCACGGACACGAACAGCCGCUGCCGUUCCUGUAGGCUAUUGGGUGUACCCAGCUCGCUGGGCGGCCAGCCGUUGUGCUGAGGCAUUGUAGUGAUGCACAUCGCUUGAUGAUACUGACCUACUCGGCGUCUGCUCGCUACGACGCCGACGUUAUUGCGCGCGACUGUGGUUUUGCCGACGCCGUGACGGCCGAGCCAACAAACUCUAUCGGACGGCAGCACUCACCAGUGUGUCAUGAACUUCGCUUGUGAGAGAGUCCUGAUAGCGCUUUACAAGGUGACGGGCCGCACCCGUGCGAGUCGCGCGCAAGCGACACCGCGGCGUGCUCGUCAACAUGACGCAGUGGUGUCUCCGUUUCACUGCGCCACACCCCCGCACCUUCGGCUCCUUCUGCGUUGCGUUCCAUUUUCGUCGUGUCGGGUGCCGCAAACCGAACGUUAUGCCGUCGCCGGUGGUGCGCAUGUGUCGCCCUUCCCCUUCUACACAAGCGCCCUUUGCAUCCUGUGUUGUGGGUGUGCUCUUGGCCGCAGGAGGGGUUCCUCCACCCUGUCGUCCCCAGCCCAUCGACGUGCGUGCUCAGACCACCAGCACCACUACUGUUACUCGCCCCAGUCAUCGCUCCGUUUUUGAUUUGCCUUCACAUUCUCUCAUGCCGCCCCUCCCCCUCCCCGACCUCCUUGCCCGCUGCCUAUGGGACCACUACUCGCGCCACCUCCCCCCUCUGACCACGCCCACCAACGCCGGCGAGCGCACACGCGUGCAG
rnacentral:misc_RNA from 1 species